rnacentral:rRNA from 1 species
UGGGGAAUUUUGGGCAAUGGCCGAAAGGCUGACCCAGCGACGCCGCGUGCGGGAGGACGCCCUUCGGGGUGUAAACCGCUGUCAGGGGGGAAGAACGGCGGAGGGGAGAAUACCUCCUCCGCGUGACGGUACCCCCAAAGGAAGCGCCGGCUAACUCUGUGCCAGCAGCCGCGGUAAGACAGAGGGCGCGAGCGUUGUUCGGAAUCACUGGGCGUAAAGCGCGCGCAGGCGGAUACAGCAAGUCUGGAGUGAGAUCUCGCCGCUCAACGGCGAGGCUGCUCUGGAAACUGCGUGUCUGGGGACCGGUAGAGGCCGGUGGAAUUGCUGGUGUAGCGGUGGAAUGCGUAGAGAUCAGCAAGAACACCCGUGGCGAAGGCGGCCGGCUGGGCCGGAUCCGACGCUGAGGCGCGAAAGCGUGGGGAGCAAACAG